AACGAACGCUGGCGGCAUGCCUAACACAUGCAAGUCGAACGAGACCUUCGGGUCUAGUGGCGCACGGGUGCGUAACGCGUGGGAACCCGCCCUUAGGUUCGGAAUAACUCCCCGAAAGGGGUUCUAAUACCGGAUAAUGUCUUCGGACCAAAGAUUUAUCGCCUUUGGAUGGGCCCGCGUUGGAUUAGCUAGUUGGUAGGGUAAAAGCCUACCAAGGCGACGAUCCAUAGCUGGUCUGAGAGGAUGAUCAGCCACACUGGGACUGAGACACGGCCCAGACUCCUACGGGAGGCAGCAGUGGGGAAUAUUGGACAAUGGGCGAAAGCCUGAUCCAGCAAUGCCGCGUGAGUGAUGAAGGCCUUAGGGUUGUAAAGCUCUUUUACUCGGGAUGAUAAUGACAGUACCGGGAGAAUAAGCGCCGGCUAACUCCGUG
rnacentral:rRNA from 1 species